rnacentral:rRNA from 1 species
CCUACGGGUGGCUGCAGUGGGGAAUAUUGGACAAUGGGCGAAAGCCUGAUCCAGCCAUGCCGCGUGUGUGAAGAAGGCCUUCGGGUUGUAAAGCACUUUCAGUGGGGAAGAAAGCCUUGGGGCUAAUACCCUCGAGGAAGGACAUCACCCACAGAAGAAGCACCGGCUAACUCCGUGCCAGCAGCCGCGGUAAUACGGAGGGUGCGAGCGUUAAUCGGAAUUACUGGGCGUAAAGCGCGCGUAGGCGGUCUGAUAAGCCGGUUGUGAAAGCCCCGGGCUCAACCUGGGAACGGCAUCCGGAACUGUCAGGCUAGAGUGCAGGAGAGGAAGGUAGAAUUCCCGGUGUAGCGGUGACAUGCGUAGAGAUCGGGAGGAAUACCAGUGGCGAAGGCGGCCUUCUGGACUGACACUGACGCUGAGGUGCGAAAGCGUGGGUAGCAAACAGGAUUAGAUACCUUGUAGUC